GGGUUUAAAAAUAAUUCAUUUACUGUGGCCAUGAAAAAUAAAGAAAAUAGAAGCAAUUUGACGCAAUGGACGGCAACAACUGUUUUUCGUGGACCUAAAAUUUUUAGAGAAAACAGCAAAGGUUGGUUGAGUACGGAAGUUACGGCAUCCUUCGAAGGGGAGAUUCUUUACUAAUCUCCAGAGGCUCUACGCAAAUGAAAGGCAUUGGUUUGAUCGUUCGUGGCACCCGCUCGGCAUUGAGAGUACGAUCCAGGCUCCAGUUCUACACCCUGUGGCUGAUACGCGAGGGUGACAUCUUUCAGUCAUUCAGGGUGAGCUACUUGAUCAUCCGUGGCCCCUGAAGGACCUCCUUUAUUUAUUUCUAUUUUUGUAUUCGACAGACAAUAUGUAGCCUUUGGGUAUUUUCAAACUUGUAUUCCGUAUUAUGUUUAGCGCUCUUGUACCCUUUGACCAGAUUUUGGGGUUGUCGUGACAUUUCUAGUUAUGAUAAGUA